GUCACACUGUCUUUUAAUUAUUAUUUAUUUGUUUCACUAGAGUCUGAUCUCUUUGAGAAGAUUCGUUAUUUGUCUUUUUUGGCAGCACCUAUUAUGCUGCCUACCAAGUGUAGAAAUUUCAUGAUAUUUGUUUGGAAGGGACAUUUUGGCAUUGAAAAAAGAGGGAAGUCUUCUUGUGCCAGCUUUUGGUUGGGUAGGUUCUGUUGCUCCAAAUCUUCUUGGCUGACAUAAGUAAUUGUAAAAGUUUCAGAGAAUUGCUGGUGCGUUUUUGAACUCUAUCAAGUGAUUAGCACAUGUAGCAUUAAAAAGACCUCCUGUCCACCCCCAAAGUGUCCUGAAAUGCUGGCAAUUGUCUCUGUCGGAGACUGGGACCAUCUAAACUAUGAACUUUAGAAGGUUAAAGCACAGGUGUGUUUCAUCUGUGGUUUUUGAAUUCUUUCUGUUUGAGACUUUUUUCUUAAUUAAUCCCAAAUUUUUAACCAGCGAGGCAAACUUAACACUUCACAUAAAAUAAUAAAUAAUUAAUAAAAGGAAGUAAAAAAUGAAGAUAUUUUUUAACAGAGAAGAUUUUUAAAAACUAAAUGGGAGAAACAACAUGUUUCCUUUUCCAUCAACUCUCUCUGAGACUAAGCAUCUAGCAUGAAGUUCUCUCCCUGGAACACGGUCUCAAGAGGGUCCUGUCUGAAGUCUCAGUUGCUUGGCCAAGUAUUGCCCACUGGUGGUCUCUUUACUCUGCAAAUAUCAGGUCUCUGUGUCUCCCAAGGAGCUUGUUAAAAAUACCAAGGUCAGGGGUCUGGCUCACAAUGACAAAGAGAAGACCUUAGAUGAACAUUUCAGUACUUCUGCACUCCAGGUUUCUGAUUCUUCCCAUCUUUCUAAAGAGAAGAAGAAUAAUAUCUUAGGGUGACUUGAUAGUACAUCUCUGUGCCUGUUUUCUGUAACCAUAUAACAGGAUACUUUUCCAACCGAACAUUUUUGGUGUCUCUUUCCUUUCACUUCUUAACUUUCUCAGUAAGUAUGAACACAAUUUAUGUUCAGUUCUUAUCAAUUUGAUUAAUGCUCUGUUGCUGUUGGCAUCUGAUUUUGGUUAUACUACGAGUCUAUGG
rnacentral:lncRNA from 1 species